rnacentral:rRNA from 1 species
UACGAGGGGGGCGAGCGUUGUUCGGAAUUAUUGGGCGUAAAGGGUGCGUAGGCGGUUUGGUAAGUCUUGUGUGAAAUCUCCAGGCUCAACUUGGAGUCUGCACGAGAAACUGCCGGGCUUGAGUGUGGGAGAGGUGAGUGGAAUUCCUGGUGUAGCGGUGAAAUGCGUAGAGAUGUGGAGGAACACCAGUGGCGAAGGCGGCUUUCUGGUCUGUAACUGACGCUGAGGCGCGAAAGCGUGGGGAGCAAACAGG